rnacentral:rRNA from 1 species
UCCGGUGGCCAUACCGAGGGGGAAACGCCCGAUCCCAUUCCGAACUCGGAAGCUAAGCCCCUCUGGGCCGAUGGUACUGCGUCCCUGUGGCGUGGGAGAGUAGGUCGCUGCCGGGA